GGGGGGACCAUCCUCCAAGGCUAAAUACUCCUGACUGACCGAUAGUGAACCAGUACCGUGAGGGAAAGGCGAAAAGAACCCCUGUGAGGGGAGUGAAAUAGAACCUGAAACCGUGUACGUACAAGCAGUAGGAGCCCACUUGUUGGGUGACUGCGUACCUUUUGUAUAAUGGGUCAGCGACUUAAUUUUAGUAGCAAGGUUAACCGUUUAGGGGAGCCGUAGGGAAACCGAGUCUUAACUGGGCGAAAUAGUUGCUAGGAUUAGACCCGAAACCGAGUGAUCUAGCCAUGGGCAGGUUGAAGGUGAGGUAACACUUACUGGAGGACCGAACCGACUAAUGUUGAAAAAUUAGCGGAUGACUUGUGGCUAGGGGUGAAAGGCCAAUCAAACUCGGAGAUAGCUGGUUCUCCCCGAAAGCUAUUUAGGUAGCGCCUCGGACGAAUACUACUGGGGGUAGAGCACUGUUAAGGCUAGGGGGUCAUCCCGACUUACCAACCCUUUGCAAACUCCGAAUACCAGUAAGUACUAUCCGGGAGACACACGGCGGGUGCUAACGUCCGUCGUGAAGAGGGAAACAACCCAGACCGCCAGCUAAGGUCCCAAAGUUAUAGCUAAGUGGGAAACGAUGUGGGAAGGCUCAGACAGCCAGGAUGUUGGCUUAGAAGCAGCCAUCAUUUAAAGAAAGCGUAAUAGCUCACUGGUCGAGUCGGCCUGCGCGGAAGAUUUAACGGGGCUAAGCUAUACACCGAAGCUGCGGCAAUGAAGUUUUACUUCAUUGGGUAGGGGAGCGUUCUGUAAGCCGUUGAAGGUGAAUCGUAAGGUUUGCUGGAGGUAUCAGAAGUGCGAAUGCUGACAUGAGUAACGAUAAAGGGAGUGAAAAACUCCCUCGCCGGAAGAUCAAGGGUUCCUGUCCAACGUUAAUCGGGGCAGGGUAAGUCGACCCCUAAGGCGAGGCCGAAAGGCGUAGUCGAUGGGAAACGGGUUAAUAUUCCCGUACUUCUUAUAAUUGCGAUGGAGGGACGGAGAAGGCUAGGUGAGCCUGGCGACGGUUGUCCAGGUCCAAGUAUGUAGGCUGAUGGUUUAGGCAAAUCCGGACCAUCUUAAGGCUGAGAUACGAUGUCGAGU
rnacentral:rRNA from 1 species